CAAAGAAAGGAAAAAGUAAAGAGAGAAGAGAAAGGCUAAAAAUAAAAUAGAAAGAACAAUGCACUUUGAAAAGAGGUUAGAAAGGAAAAUGGUGAGAGAGAUAGAGGGAGAUACAGGGAGAUAGAGGGAGUUGGCAGAUCGGAAGAAGUUAACGCACGUACCUGUGUAAUUCUCCUCUGUAUAAGAUAAAAGAAUGAAAGAGAAAAAGGGACAGGAUGAUGGAAACAUUCGUUGAUACCGCGUGGUCUACCUUUGAUCCACCCUAAGACGGCUCUUCUUCUCUUGCACCGGGCACAGGCGGAUCGCCGACGAGGCACCGUGUGGAGCGACCGUUAAUAAUUUUUACGACACUCUUAACUCGCCACCCGGUAUUAAGCGGUCCACCAGAGAAGACGGCCUUUUGAUCUUUGCCGACGCGGUAUCGACUUAAUGAGUGCGAGAGGGAGAUAGCGGGUGAGUCAGCGCGGACUGCGGGGGCACAUGGGAGCGUAAUGGCAGCGCGGUAGGGGGUGAGUUGAGGAAGAAGAAAUAGUAGAAGAAGAAGAUGAAGAAGAAGA